rnacentral:lncRNA from 1 species
UUCUCCCAGAAGAGAAGGGAGAGCACAUGCCCAGGCUCCAUGGAGUUCCGGUUCUCCCCUCCCUUCGCACCCCCACAAUGAGGUCACGACGGGAUGCCACCACCAGCUGGUCCCUUCCAAAGCUCUGUCUGAACUCCACCAGCCUUGCUUCUGGCCUCAUCCUGCAGAUCCAGGGGACACCUCCACUUGCAAGUUCAGUCCAUGGGCACUGCACACUCUCUCGGCCCCAAAUUGAACCCCUUUUCCUCACCCAAUAUCCUCCAUUUCAACAAAUGGCAGCGUUGUGGGUAAAAUAACACCUCCUUCAGAGACAUUGACAUCCUCACCCCUGACUUUGG